CUCAACCAAAUGUUAUGAAACUUAUACACAAUGCUCAUUACCACAAAACACAGAUCAAGUUUGAAUUUAGGUGGUGUCACUUUAACCGUUCUAGAGUUAUGCCCCUUAAGAAAUGGAAAAAUUGCAAAAUUUUUAUUUUCUUCUAAAUAUCAAGUAAUUUUUAUACGACCGCAAAAAAAUUUUUGUGGUCGUAUAUUGGUAUGACGUUGGCGUUGUCGUCGUCGUCGUCCGGCGUCGUCGUCGUCGUCCGGCAUCGUCGUCCGAAUACGCAUUAGUUUUCGCACUCUAACUUUAGUUUAAGUGAAUGGAUCUCUAUGAAAUUUUACCAUAAGGUUCAAUACAACAAAAGGAAGGUGGGGAUUGAUUUUGGGGGUUAUGGUACCAACAGUUAAGGAAUUAGGGGCCAAAAAGGGGCCAAAAAUAAGCAUUUUCUAGUUUCCAGACAAUAACUGUGGAACGGUGUAUGGAUCUCUCUGAAAUUAUACUACAAGUUUCCAUACCACAAAGGGAUGGUUAGGAUUUGCUUUGGGGGGUUAUGGCUCAAACCGUUUAAGAAUUAGGGGCAAAAAAGGGGGAAAAACAAGGUUGUCCUGGUUAAUGGACAAAUACUUUAGUACAAAACAUAAUUUAAAGCAGUGUAAGGGAGAUAAAUCAAAUACAUCAUUGAAAUUAUCUCCCUUACACUGCUUUUAAAUUAUGUAUAAAGUAAUGGUUAAUGAACAAUUAAGAUAAUUUAAAACAGUGUAAGGGAGGUAAUCCAAAUACAACGUUUUGGUUACUUCCCUUACACUGCUUUUAAAUUGUGUUUAAAGAAAUGCAUAUUUAUAAAAGAAGACCAGUAAAAAUAUCUGCAAAUGUUGCAUCUUUUUUUUUUACAAAAAAAUCCAUAUGAAAGAUUUGACACUAUAUUUUAAAUUCUAUUAUAAAAUAGAUUAAGUUAGCACUAUGGUAAAUUUAAAUGGGUAAUUAUGGUUUGGGGAAAAAAAGGGGGGGGGUAAAAAGAAAUUGUGGGGGGUCAAUUUUUUCUCAUUUUAGAUUUCAGAAAUUAAAAAGAAUUAUUCCUCAAAUAUUAUUUUUUUUUCAAAUUUCAAAUAUUGAAAAAUUUCAAGAAGUAAUCUUUAAUUGCACAGUAUGGCGCAUUAGAUUUGUAAAAUCUUUGACCACAUUUAUUUAUUUGUUAUGCCGAAUCUAACCGUGUAUUUAGAUUUUUAAUUUUGGAUCCAGUUUUCAAAUUGGUCUACAUUAAGGUCCAAAGGGUCCAAAAUUAAACUUUGUUUGAUUUUAACAAAAAUUGAAUAUAUGGGGUUCUUUGAUAUGCUGAAUCUAAACAUGUAUUUAGAUUUUUGAUUUUUGGCCCAGUUUUCAAGUUGGUCCAAAUUGGGGUCCAAAAUUAAACUUUGUUUGAUUUCAACAAAAAUUGAAUAUAUGGGGUUCUUUGAUAUGCUGAAUCUAAACACGUAUUUAGAUUUUAGAUUUUUGGCCCAGUUUUCAAGUUGGUCCAAAUUGGGGUCCAAAAUUAAACUUUGUUUGAUUUCAACAAAAAUUGAAUAUAUGGGGUUCUUUGAUAUGCUGAAUCUUACCAUGUAUUUAGAUUUUUUAUUUGUGGGCCCGCUAUCAAAUUGGUUCAUAUUGAGGUCAAAAGGGUCCAAAAUUAAACUUUGUUUGAUUUCAUCAAAAAUUGAAUUAUUGGGGUUCUUUGAUAUGCCAAAUCUAACCAUGUUUUUAGAUUUUUAAUUUUGGGUCCCGUUUUUUAAAUUGGUCUACAUUAAGGUCCAAAGGGUCCAAAAUUAAACUUAGUUUGAUUUUAACAAAAAUUGAAUUCUUGGGGUACUUUGAUAUGCUGAAUCUAAACAUGUGUUUAGAUUUUUGAUUAUGGGACCAGUUUUCAAGUUUGUCCAAGUUGGGGUCAAAAAUUAAACUUUGUUUGAUUUCAACAAAAAUUGAAUAUAUGGGGUUCUUUGAUAUGCUGAAUCUAACCAUGUAUUUUGAUUUUGGACAUUGGACCAUAAUAGGUAAAUUAAAAAAAUUGAAGUUCUUAGACCACAUUCUUUCUGUGUCAGAAACCUAUGCUGUGUCAAAUAUUUAAUCACAAUCCAUAUUCAGAGCUGUAUCAAGCUUGAAUGUUGUGUCCAUACUUGCCCCAACUGUUCAGGGUUUCGACCUCUGCGGUCGUAUCAAGCUGCGCCCAGCGAAGCAUUUUAUUAAAAUUGGAGUUAUCUUCCUUUCUCCAUGAUUAUAGUUGAAUAAACUACAAUCAAUGCUUUAUACAAUGCAAUGUUUAGUUUUGACUUCCACUGAUAAAACACAGAUCAAGUUGAAUUUGGGUAGUGUCACUUUAACCAUUAUUGAGUUAUGCCCCUUUAUAAA